rnacentral:rRNA from 1 species
AUGGGGAACCACCUCCCGGGGAUGCCAUUGAGAAGCACAUCAGAGCGGGAGGAUCGCGUCCAUCCAAUCGCACCACACCACCGAAAAUCCCCGAGCCAGCAUGAUCAUGCGCAAGCUUGCUCAGUUGAUGAAGUCGAAGGCUUUAGAGAAGUCAAGCUUGAAGACCAGCGUGGGGGCUUUUCUCUUGAAGCAGCAUUGGACCAUCUCCGAAGCAUAGAUGAAAUUCUCAGCAAUGCUGCGCCCGGGGAUGAACCCGGGCUGAUCUGCGUCGAUAGUCGCGCUGAUUUUCUGCUGCAGUUGAGGUGA